rnacentral:rRNA from 1 species
AUUGAACGCUGGCGGCAGGCCUAACACAUGCAAGUCGAACGGUAACAGGAAGAAGCUUGCUUCUUUGCUGACGAGUGGCGGACGGGUGAGUAAUGUCUGGGAAACUGCCUGAUGGAGGGGGAUAACUACUGGAAACGGUAGCUAAUACCGCAUAACGUCGCAAGACCAAAGAGGGGGAGCUUCGGGCCUCUUGCCAGCGGAUGUGCCCAGAUGGGAUUAGCUAGUAGGUGGGGUAACGGCUCACCUAGGCGACGAUCCCUAGCUGGUCUGAGAGGAUGACCAGCCACACUGGAACUGAGACACGGUCCAGACUCCUACGGGAGGCAGCAGUGGGGAAUAUUGCACAAUGGGCGCAAGCCUGAUGCAGCCAUGCCGCGUGUAUGAAGAAGGCCUUCGGGUUGUAAAGUACUUUCAGCGGGGAGGAAGGGAGUAAAGUUAAUACCUUUGCUCAUUGACGUUACCCGCAGAAGAAGCACCGGCUAACUCCGUG